rnacentral:lncRNA from 1 species
GGUCGUGUGCCUGUGACUCCUGGGCGUGUCUUGUGUGGGAGCCGUGUGGUCGCGGGCUGCGUCGGGGUGGCUGUGCGCGUGGACGACCGUGGGCAGAGAAACGGGCGUUGGCUGUGCGAUGUUCCGUGUGGCUCUCGGAGCCUGGUCGUGGGAGUGGCUGGGUGCUGGGUGUGUGCACGUGGCCGUCGGCGUGGCUGUGUGUGGCUCUGCGCGACCCAUGUGCGCCUCUGGGCGGAGGCCACUGUCGCGGAUGCGUGUGCCUGCGCGCAGCCCUGCGACGCUGUCUCCGGGUGCGCCCGCGGGUCCGGCGGUGGGGUCGUGCGCACCUGUGCCGCUGCCCGGUGGGUUCCUGGCAUGGCGUGUUGUGUGUGCAAGCGAGGUCAGUUGAAAAGCAAGCCGGAGCUUUGGGGUGCAUGUGACGUCUCCCUCAGAUCCCCGUCCCUGCAGGUAAUUCAUGCAGCGACAAAGAUGCCCUGGCUCCACAACACUGUUUGGGCGCCCCCUAUGGGCAGAGGCUGCCCUGGCUGGACGGGGUGGGGCUCCAGGAUGGAGACCUGCCUAGUGGGGCGGGAGAGAGGCAGAGGUAGUCCCCAGGGAUGCCCCAGUCUUACGGGGGAGUCAGAACCCUCCCGUGCACAGGCUCUGAGAAGGAGAACAAGGAGAAUUCAAGCUAGUGUUCCCUGGGCCGGGAGAAGAGUCUGAAGACGGAUCAGAGAAGGCUUCUGGAAAGGGCUUCGGGGACUUGAUGCAGGCUGGGAUAGAAAUCCCCUACUGGGGUCUCCCCGGCAUCCCUCCAGCUGCAGCCGGCACACAGCUACCCGUGUCUGGUUGUCCAGGAGGGAGCCCUGAGGCUGGGGAUCGUCCCUUGCCCCUGCCCCAGCCUGGCCAGCCAACACCCCAGCCGCGCUCCCCGCCUGCUUGCCCAGCCUGCGGGCCCCCACAUCCACCCUGCAGGUGCCCCUGCCCGACUCUUACCAUGACUGAGGUCUCGUAAGCUUCCCUUCACUGCCGCCCUUCUCGCCCCCCUGCCUCGGAGGCUCCUUCCCACUCCCGAAACUGGCUAACUCACCAGAGCCCACCCCUCCACCCACCUGGCCCCGGUGGGAAAACUCCCCACUUCAGAUUUAGGGGUGUUUGGGUCACGGUCCCAGAGGGAUUAAGAAGAGCCUCAGACUAAAGAGUCAGGAGGCCCGGCUUUGGGGAAAUCACUGGGCAAGGCAGCCUCAGUUUCUCCAUCUGCAAAAUGGGGCUAAUGGCCGCCUGCCCUGCUGGGUUCCCAGAGCGGGUGGGGAAUGCUCCAGUGAGCUCAUGGGUGUGAAGGCCCUGGUGAGCCAUAAAUAGUCC